rnacentral:tRNA from 1 species
GAGGGUACAGCUUAGUGGCAGAGUGCUUGCUUAGCAUGCAAAAGGUCCUGGGUUCAAUCCCCAGUACCUCCA